rnacentral:lncRNA from 1 species
CUUGUAUACCUCUUUCCUUCUCCUAUCUGCUGUCUCUAGGUUCAUACAGCAUGGAGAAAGAGAAGGGCUUCUCCUCUUCCAGUUAGGAACAACGAAAUGCAGAAGGAACAGCUGCCCUCCCUGAUCCCCAGUCUGGUCCCUGAACCCAUAGUGGUUCGGAGUUCCCAGAAACCAGUGAUAAUGGCCUGGUGCCUUCUCUUCUUGCUAUCUAGUCUGGUUCCAGCUGCUCCAACAUCUCUGUUCCCAUUGCAUUGUUUGGGCUCUCCAAUCUUCGUCUGUUGAUUCUGGGUAUUCCACUGCUGAAGACUAGGCAGAAUGUCCAGUACCCUGUCUUCUCUCUGCAAAGGACCUGUUCAUUCAUGGCUGCUUGCAUUUUGACUUUCCCAUUAGAUGAAUCAUUCAAGUCAAGUGGCAAGACCAAAGUCAGGAUGCCUGGUUAUGGCUCAAUAUGCAGUGGAUAACUUUGGAAUCUUCAAUGUUAACCAAGCUCUAAGUACUCUACAAAACCUGCUUCAAACACCUUCAUGGCUACUUGAACAAAGUGUCCUCAUCUGCCAUUCCACUGAGGGAAGUCUUUCCAUGUUUGGGGUAGAUACCCUUCUAACUCACUAA